AGAUUGAACGCUGGCGGCAGGCCUAACACAUGCAAGUCGAGCGGUAACAGGGGUAGCUUGCUACCCGCUGACGAGCGGCGGACGGGUGAGUAACGCGUAGGAAUCUACCCGGUAGUUGGGGAUAGCCCGGAGAAAUCCGGGAUUAAUACCGAAUAAUCUCUACGGAGGAAAGGGGGCUUCGGCUCUCGCUACUGGAUGAGCCUGCGUCGGAUUAGCUAGUUGGUGGGUAAAGCCUACCAAGGCGACGAUCCGUAGCUGGUCUGAGAGGAUGAUCAGCCACACUGGGACUGAGACACGGCCCAGACUCCUACGGGAGCAGCAGUGGGAAUAUUGGACAAUGGGGGCAACCUGAUCCAGCAUGCCGCGUGUGUGAAGAAGGCCUUCGGUGUAAGCUACUUCAGUGGGAGGAAGGGUAGAGUGUAAGUACCGU
rnacentral:rRNA from 1 species